rnacentral:rRNA from 1 species
UACGUAGGUGGCAAGCGUCGUCCGGAAUUACUGGGUGUAAAGGGAGCGCAGGCGGGAAGCCAAGUCAGCUGUGAAAACUACGGGCUUAACUUGUAGACUGCAGUUGAAACUGGUUUUCUUGAGUGAAGUAGAGGUUGGCGGAAUUCCGAGUGUAGCGGUGAAAUGCGUAGAUAUUCGGAGGAACACCGGUGGCGAAGGCGGCCAACUGGGCUUUAACUGACGCUGAGGCUCGAAAGUGUGGGGAGCAAACAGG